UACGUAGGGGGCAAGCGUUGUCCGGAUUUAUUGGGCGUAAAGAGCGUGUAGGCGGCCAGGUAGGUCCGUUGUGAAAACUCGAGGCUCAACCUCGAGACGUCGGCGGAAACCCUCUGGCUAGAGUCCGGAAGAGGAGAGUGGAAUUCCUGGUGUAGCGGUGAAAUGCGCAGAUAUCAGGAAGAACACCCGUGGCGAAGGCGGCGAUCUGGACGAUGACUGACGCUGAGACGCGAAAGCGUGGGGAGCAAACAGG
rnacentral:rRNA from 1 species